ACGGAGAGACACAGACACACAGGCAGAAUGCCAUGCGAUGACAGAGGCAGAGAUCUGAGUGAUGUGUCUACAAACCAAGCAACGUCAAGGACUGCCAGCAGCCCCAGAAGCUGGAAGAGGCAGGAAGAAUCCUCCCUGAGGGCCUUCAGAGAGAGCGUGGCCCUGCUGGUGCCUUGAUUUUGGACUUCUGGCUUCUAGAAGUGUGCGAGAAUAAGGUUCUGUUGCUUGAAGCCACCUAGUCUGUGGUGCUUUGUUUUGACGGCCACAGGAAACCAGUAUUGGAGAUUUGGCCACCCCCGAGACAUGAAGUCAUUGGCAAGCUUGAAAUAUGGACACCUUAUCAUGAUUAAUCCUCUUCCACAUCUAUAAUUCAUAACGUUGAAGAGGAAGCGGAGGAAGAAAGAACUUUUGGAAAGGGUAAUGCUUUUAUGCAGCAAGCUUUGUUGAGUUUAUUUAAAGAUUAUGCAUAUUUUGUUUGCUUUUUAUGCCGUUAAAAUGUUCAGGGAGGGAAGAAAGUUGGAACAGCUUGAGAAAUAUCCGGCAGAAUUCCAUGGUACAAUGGAGAAACCAUCCAGAAAUCGAGAGCGGUCCUGCUAGAAUCAUCUGGGAGCAAGCUGGGAGGAGUCCUCAGGAGCUGCAGAAAGGACAGCUAAUGAAGAACACUGGGCUGGACACUGGGCAGAGUGGGUGACAAGCUCGUUAGUACCUAGGAGUUUGUUUUCAUUUUUCCCCUCGCAGCAAAACAAUUUGAAAGCGGAGACUAAAAAUUCAAUGUCUCAAUAUGGAGGAUUUGGGGGGGCGUAGUUGUACACGUUUGCAGUAGAUAAUGCCAGCUGCCCACCCAAUAUCCGUGUUUUCCCCUUUCUUUCUGUCUAACAGAGCUGUCAUAUGGUCUGGGGAUAUGACACCCAGCUAAAGAAAAAUCACUUCCCCAGGCUCCUUGCCCCCAAGGAAGCCCUGAGUGUAGCUUGGGCAUGGAGAGGAAGCUGCUUGGGACGGGCGGUCCUCCCUAAGUCAAAAGAACUCCCUUUUCCCGCCUUCUGCCUGGUUAUCCCUUUUUCUUUUUCCUGCUGGACGCUUGGUGGUCAUGAAAACUGAGUGCAUCAGGUGUCUUGUAAGAAGCAUGUUUUGUGGGAGAAACGUGCCAAAUGCAUUUAGAUCUCAUGGACUGAAAAAGUAAUAGUGGUUUCCAGUGAGUCAUGGUCUCAUGGGAAUUGCCUUAGAAUGCAGGCCUUGGUUUGUGAGCCAGCUGCCUCUCACAUGGUCAGCCUAUGCAGCGUUAGCUAAGGUGAUUGUCACCGUUUUAUUUAUUUAAUCAUAGUUAAUGCUUCUUCUAAGGAUUCCCAGGAAGCCUGGAUGAUAAUUUACAUAUCAUUAGACAGAAGCUUGUAGUGAUAUGUACAAAAGACAAGAGCCCGACUGUUGGCUAACCCAAUAUCCAUUUUCAAACCCGCUUCGCUCUUGCCCACUGCAGUUAGAGAGGCUGGAAAAACGAAUCAUCUUUCCCAGCCUCCUUUGUGGCCGAGUUGGCUGUGUGUCAUAGUUCUGGCCAAUGGGCCAUAAGCCGAAAUCUCAAGGGGAGGGUUCUAGGAAGGGACAGAUGUGGCUGCCUUGUUCUUCACUUCUUCCUGCCUUGAAUAAGAAUAUGAUGCUGAGUCUGGGGCAGCCAACCUGCCACCAUGAGUGUGAGGCCCUGAAAUGGACAGAAACCCUGUCAUUGACACUAUUGAGCGGCUGGACCAACACUUAAAGCCAAUUUCUGCAGACUCCUGAAUCAACUCUGUUUCCAUCCUUGUAAGUCUGAUUUUUCUCUUACUGGCAGCUCAAAGCAUUCCUGACUAAGACAAUGUGCAAAAUAAGAAAUACAAAUGGCCAAUAGGAUAUGAAAAAAAUUCAGCUUCAAUGAUAAACAAAGGAAUGGAAUUUGGCAAAGAUGUUGAAAUGAUGAUCACACUGCGUGCUGGUAGGAUGUUGUGAGAUAAGUAUUCUCAUUUCCUGCUGGUGACAUUAUAAACUGGUACGGGGUUUCUCCAAAGAUGUGGAUGAAGCUAUGAAGAGCCUUCAAAAUAUUACUACCCUUUGACCAAGUAAUUUCACUCUUGGGAAUUAUCCAAAGGAAAUAGCAACAAGGACACAGACUUACAUGCAUUGUGAUCCAAACUCCGUAAGAAAGAAAAAAAAAGGUAUCUUCAUAGAUAUGUAGACUGCAGGAAAUAAGACAAAAACGUUUGGAAUUGUUAUCUCUUGUUUUGAGUGAUAUUUUGUUUUUUCUUUUUCAAAUUUUUUAGAAAGAACAUGUUUAUUUGGAAAUUAGGAAAACACAACAAAAGUCACUUAAAAGACUAAUACCACCGAAUGCUCACAUCUCUGUCCUUAGAAUUUUUCUACUUUUGUGGAAAUAACAGCCAAGUAUCUUCAGAGUCUUUGGUUACAGGUCUUUCUUUUCAUUUACUUUUAAAUUUCUCACUGAGAGACAGAAUUUACCAGAGUCAUCCUGUGAAACGCUGGGGGUGACUGCACACAUUCAUAUGCUAUUCGAACUGGAUGAUGGUCCUGGGAGGUAAGGAAAGAUGCUAUUAUCCCCAUUUUACUGUUAGGAAAGAAAAAGAAAGGAACUGGGUGUCUUCCUGAGAGUCAUUCUACCUGUGGGAGGCAGAGCUGGGGCCUGACACAGAUUCACUGAUUCUAAGCCCUGAGCUCCUGUUUCGACACCAGGAUUUCUAUCACGCACGGGAGAAACACACACCCAAUUAGAGCCACAGCUAAAAUUCCCUGUAAUUGCAAAAGAGAGCAAGGAGAGAAGCUGGUUUUAUGUCCAGACCGGAAAAGGGGGAGGGAGGCAACUGCAAGCUGCACAAAUUAUACACAUUCCAAAUGCUUAUUUAUACAAACCCCUCCACUCCACCCUCCACCCACGUCUGUAAUGUAACCAACAUGCAAAAACGAAAAUCUGUUUUUGAGCCAGGUGCCAAAAUAAUCAUUGUUAAUACAGAAUAAACAACAAGUACGUUAUAUUGUUUAGGUCUGCAUCGGGGACUUAGAAGCGUUUGGGAAUUAAAAUUGCGUUUGAUACAUAGGAUGCACAAAAUCACGUUUAUACAAAUGAUGGACAGAAUUUAUUCAAGUGGCUGUGUUCACAUGAGUUUCCAUUCUUUCCACUGACACGUGGUGCCACGACCAAAAUUUAAUUCUGGAAAUUAACUUUUCCCUUAGAGAUGGGUGGAACUGAGUAUACUGUGGGCUACAAUAUUCUUAAAUAAUAUUGUGUAUAUGAAAGAGAUGGUUAAUUAUGAGCAACAGUGGAGUUCUUUAAAACCGAACUAUACAUGACAGAAAGCUGGCAAAUUCCUCUUGAAAGUAACCAGGCACAUAAAAUUGUCUUCUGUGUCAAGUUUUCAGUGCCCCAGCCCACUUCCUGUGCAGCACGGCCCUGCGCGGACAGGGCGUGGGUGAGGAAGGCACUUGGCUUCUGGCCAUUGCUCCUGCCCUAACUAGUUGGCAGCCCUCCCCUCGCUAAACACCCAUGCAAAGCAAACUCAGACCCAUUAGAAGUAAGAGGGUGAGGAUAUUCCAUUUCUUCGUGGACCACUGCUUGAUUUUCGUUAAACUCACUCAGAUUUAUUUUACACCCUGGACACCUGAGUUUGCGCUUAUUUUCAAGUUGUCAAGGAAUCUUUUCAGAAAUGAAAAAACACGGCUGUUCUAUUUACAUAGACCUUUUAGUUUUCUUCUCACUCUCUCCCUGUAAGUUCUUUUCGCCCUCGUUUUCAAUUUAUUACCUUUUAAGUAUCCUUAAGUAGCAGAUGUUUAAACACCUUUUAAUCGGAGAAACUGCAAGUGUAAUUGCUGGGUUUGGCAGGAAGCAGGUCCCGGAGCCCCUGGCCGGCUGAUAGCUGUGUUCUGCAGGCAGUGGCAUCUCACCGUAGAAGCAGCGAGACCGGAUCGCAGCCUCCAGACAUCUUCUGGCAAGUUCUGGAGAAGUUUUGCAAUUAACCAGUGGAAUUGGCAUGAAUUGAAAGGAUGCGUAAGGAAAACAUCAGUUCCUGCUGUCAUACCGGCUUCAAGCUCCAGCACCAGAAACAACGACAACAGCCUCAUGGAGACUAUUUAACCAGCUCCUACAGCUGUGUACAGCAAACAUGGAUCUACUUUGCCAAGUCUUUUCCCAUGAUGCUGAUGCCUCCGCGCAGACCUUCUUGGUGAGGGGCACAGACACACGUCUGGUGACACUCCCUGGGCCCCCACUUGGACACCCCAGAGACAUUCCAGUGCACCAUGAGCAAAACGGAAUUGCCCCUCAAGCCUCACCCGCCAUCCUUAUGUGGCCUCCUACUGCCCUAUACCAAUCAACAGCCCACGCCACCUCCUGGACAUCCUCCCCUCCUUUUUUUCAGCUCCAUCGCUGUCUCUUUGCCCCUCCACCAUGCUGACCAGGACUGUUGCAAGAGACCCUCAACUGCUCUCCUUGCCUCCAUCCUCACCUCCUCGAAUUCCUUCUCUACACUUAAGCCACUGAGCCUUUUAAAAUGCAAAUCUGACUAUGUCACUCUUGGGGCCAAAAGCCACCCAUUGUGUCCAUUGGCCCUUUGGAUGAAAUUCAAAGCCAUAGUCCUGACUUCCUGGCCUGCACAACCUUGACUCCCUCCUCUUGGACCCUAUGUGUCAGCCCAGCCACUCUGAACUUCUUUCUAUAACUUCUGUGCUCACUCCCUUUGCCUGGAAACCACCUCCCCCCACUCCCCACUCUUCUACACCACCCGGGGGGAGCCUUGUCUAUGUUGUCCGUGUCCCGUCGUCACCCCCCAUCACGCCCCCACCGCCCCAGCUCAGUGUGAAUGCCCUUUCGUGAUCCCAUUAGAUGAUGUUGGGGGCUUCUGCUCUGUAUCCCAACUCCUCAAGCCCUACCCCCCUAAUAUAAUAAAAUUCAUGUCCGCUCUGUGUCCUGCCCUCACUUUACUAUAUGGAGUCUCUCUGAUCUGACUUUAAGAGAGGUUGCUGAUGGCUCUUAAACAGGACUCAGGGCCUCCUCUCUUCGACCUCUAAGUAUUGACGUCUGUAGGACCACGUUCUGAGGCCUCUUUUCUUCCCCAUCCAUUCUUUCCCCAGGUAAUUACCUUUUGCAGGUAAUUGCUUUUGGCUUUACAUGUAAUUAGGGUGACAGACCAUCCCCGUUUGCUGGGGACCGAGGGGUUUCCUGGAAUGUGGCACUUUAAGGGCUGAAAACGGGAAAGUCCUGGGCAAACUGGGAUGACGGGGUCACCCUAGUUACCAUCCAAUGCUGGCAAUCCCAAAAAUUCAUAUCUGCAGCCCAGUCUCUCCCCUGAGUGCCAGACAUGGGAAUUGAAUACUUAAUUGGCAUUUCCAUUGUGAUGUGUCAUUGGCAUCUCAAAGCUGAGGUGGCCCAGACAAGGCUGUGGUCCCAGAAAACCUCAUCCCACUGUCACCCAACUCACUAGACUCCACCCGUCCUCAAACAUGCCCAACUGCUUCCCAUCUCAGGACCUUUGCACCUGUCAUUUCUUCUACAGGAAACACCCUUCCCCUCCUCUUCUCUGUUAGCCACUGCUCUUCCUUCUAGUUUCAGCCUAAUUGCCACUUCUUCAUAGAGUCCUUUCUGGACCUAAAGCAGCCCACUUCCCUAUUCCAUCAUAUCACCUGGCUUAUAUUUCUCAUGGCACUUACAACCGGAAAUGA